GAGGCAGAAGAAAGAGGCGGCGAGUGCGACCCCCCUGGUCUCUCUCUUCCGGGCGCGGAGGUUUUGCUAGCCUGCAGCUCCGGCUACUCGAUUGUGUCUUCAGAAGACAACUUGCCUUUAGGUCAAGGAUGCCUGGGGCUUGGGAACAUGACCCUCCGCCCACAGUGCCCCUUCUCUGGGAGGUUUAAAGAUACUCCAAGUGGACUUGGAGCCAAACCUUUCGGCAAAGGAAAAAAGGAGUGGGUGAAGUAAGGAGUGGAAGGGGCACCCGAAUGGGCUGCGGGGGAGAUUUCUAUGCGUAAAAUAUGAUCCACGUCAAGGCACCCCUGGAAGACACUCACACUCACCCCUGAAAGACAGGAAAGGGUUAAAAGUUGUGGCCAGAGAGAGAGAGAAUUCCAGCCGGAAUUGAACCCAGCCUAGAGGACUCCGGAAAUUGCAACCUUUUCUUCUAAAGAACAGUGUAUACAGUAAUGAACACACAUGAAGAUUAAACUAUAGCAGCAGUUAUCGUCACCCAUCUUCACACUCAUCAGAGCUCUCUUCGCUUGGAUCCUCAGUGCUCCCUCCUUCACUCUCACUAUUGUUGUCUUCA